GGAAGCGUGGCUGAGUGGUUUAAGGCACUGGUUUCGAAAACCAGCGACCCCUCACGGGGUCCGGAGGUUCGAAUCCUCCCGCUUCCGCCA
rnacentral:tRNA from 1 species